UCCCACCCCCGGAAUUGCGUUGAAAAGUGUAACAACUCCUGACUGGAGGCACUUAUCCUGACUUGUUAAAUCCAAGAGUCGUUAGUUAGGGAUACCUUUCUAAUUCCUUGUCUACGGACUACUCUUAGUUGAGUAUUGGUUAAGUUGGGAUGCUGCGUGUUAUGAUACUAAAGUAACGAUUGAGUCGGUCUCGCAAGAGGAUUCAAAUGAGUUCCGCCACAGUAAACAGUUGAUGGCACAACUGGAACCAAAGUGGUUGCCAAAUAAGAGAUUUCUCGUGAUGUUCAAGUGAUUGAACUAUAAGACUUUAUCGGAUCUUUUUCCUUAAGAGGCAGUUUGAUAUUGGUGUGUUAAGGAAAAAGCGGGUCUGCCAAUGACGCCCAGGACUAGAAAUGCGGUGAGAGUAACCAGUGUCGCUAACUGGGGCAUUCUCUCAUCAUCCUGUGACUGAGUAAGUAGCAAUAACAAUGACGUGGUAGGGGUAACGCCCCAAUGCUUUUAUGGAGAGGU
rnacentral:ncRNA from 1 species